ACUGAUUUAAAUGGUGUCAAUAUUAGUCAUUCAAAGUUUGAUGGUAAAAUUUAAUCACCAAAUUAGAUACUGAUAAAUUUGAUUCUUAUUCCUUAAUCCUAAAUUAAAAUUUCAUUGCAUCAAUACUUUAGAAAUAAAGUAUAUUUUCUAGUUGAUUUAUUCAAAAGAUUUUAACAAAUCAAAGAAUAAUUUUAACUAUACUCCCUCCAUCCCAUUUUCUUAGUCCCUUUUAUUUCUUUUCGAUGUGUCAAAGUUAUGUUCUUUUUUUUUUUUGAACACAAACUACUCCUUUUUAUAUAUAUUUCAAAUUUACUUUCAAUGAUUUUUUUUACUCUUUUGUUAUUAAAAACCUUGAAACAUCAUUUUUUUUAUAAAAUGGUAUAUAAAAUUUUAAUAUAAGAUAGACUGAUUUGAAAUUUUUUUCUUAAAUUUUGUGAAAAUCAAGGACAUAAAAUAUGAGAUUUAGGUAGCUUUAUGUCAUCAAAAGGGAGAUGGAUCAAAUAAUGAACUUGCGUAAUUGCCCUAAAAAAGUAUAUAACCUAUAGAUAAUUGUAUUAUCAUUAUGGGCGCUAUAAAACAUGAAUAUAAUGGAAUGUGAAUUUAUUUAUUCUACUUUGUAAAACAUUGCAUAAGAAAUAUACCUUGGAUAGGGUUAUAGCUGAUUGGAUUGAAGUGGUCCACCGCAUCUGUGAGUUUCCAAGCCGAUGUGAAAUGCAAUAGGCCAUCGUCGUUUUGAAAAACCACACACCCAAUAUCCUCAUGCUCCCCAGACACGAUAUCCGGCGCCAGUGGAACUGGAAGAAGGCCAUUCGCUCGCAAGAGGGAUCGCCAUUGAGCCAAAGUCUGGUGUCGCUCAAGUCGGUCUGUCCCUUCACAUCCCACGAUGUUUACUAUCUGUUGUCUACAAUACAUUAAUUUGUAAAAUUCCAAAAAAUUGAAGUAAUAUUGAAAAGAUUUCUCCAACCGUUUGAUGAAAUUGGAGUCAUUAUGGUCAGCAUAUUGCUCUUCUAUAAUCACAAUCUCUGGGUUUAUCUGCCUCAACUUUAACAACUCUCUCUCCAUUACUCUUGCAUCUGCCAGCAACUGGUGAAGUUUACAGUGAUAAUAGACGAUUACGGCCUCAUCCGUUGUCCUUGUGAAAUCCGCCUUAGACGCAUCCACAUCACCCAAACUAUUGGCAUAAACCACUCUCAAGUCCUCCAACUUAAUUCCAUGUCCCAUGGCCGCCGUAGUGAGAUAGUGCUUACUUUUUUCUUGUUGGAAUUUUACUAUUUUUUCCAGAAAUGGUGAUACUAUGACACUUACACGGACUGAUAGAAAAUCACCGGAAGCAUUAGCUAGUGAUCUAAACAAGUAUCUCCAAUAAUAUAAAGGUCGGAAUAAGAAGGUAAUGAGGUGCAAUCGUUUCUUUCCCAUACAGGCAGUGUUGAUGGCAUCGCAGGAAAAAUUAUAAAGGAAAUAAAUGGGUGGAGGAGUCAGCAAAGUGAAAUAGGCACUGGCAGAAGAAAUUCCGUAAGCUCGGCGAACUAGAGCUUCCGCAAAGUAUUUCACAACAUCGCUUUCUUGCCGGCAGGAUUGGUCGGCAGCAAGAUUCCAGAUCCGCUCCAGGAGUGAGUCGGCAAGAGUCAGAUUCUCGUCUUGAAUAGCUUUAGCGCAGGCGACUAAGGCGUCUAAAGCAGAAGAGGCCAUCACUGUACGGAAAUACUAGAAAUUUGGUCGAGGCAAAACUGGUAAUAAGACAGUGCAGAUAAAAUUUGGAAUCAAGGAAAAGCAAACUUGGAGGCGCCAAUGAAGUUGAGAUUAAGAAAGUAAAACAAAUUCGGGGGCAUCAAACAUUUGCACCUUGAAAUAUAAGAAGAUGACAACUUUUCCAGCAAUAGCUUGUCCCCACACCUCACGCGGAAUUGAGGGACCCCCCAUAUUCCAAGCCAAGCAUCAGUCACGCGACUUCGUGGAAAUUACUACAAGCAGUUUUCAAUCAGAAUUGGACUAGUCAACCAUUCCGUUUGUCGAAUUAAUAUUAAAUUAAAUAUUAGUCGCUCUGCAAUCCAUUCUGUUUUUAAAAUGAAUUAGACUAGUCAACCAAAGCAAAACAAACUCAUUGCACAAAACAACUUAUUAGUUGCCUCAUCUGUCAUCUCACUAGCUACAAUUGAUCAUUCAUGGCAUGUUCAAACCAAUAGAACAAAAUCUAAACCGAGCUUAAUAAAAUCCAAUUUCUUCCUUUGGCUUUCCCUCGUGUAUCUCCAUCUUUUUUUCAAAAGUAACAACUUAUCAUAUAUUUUUUUUGGGAUAAACUUUUUAUUUUACUUGAAUAAUUGGUAUAAAAAAUAAAUUUAAAAACAAUGAGUAAUACUUACUUUUCGAAAAAAGAAAGCAAUAUUGAUGAAGAUAAUGGAAAUUGGAAAGAACAGAUAAAUGAGAAUUUUUUUUUAUUAUUAUAAAUCUCGUUAUUGUUGCUAUGUAGCUAAGCUUGGUACCGAACUAUACAAGUUUAGAAUAGUAUUAAAAUCAUUGGACAUUUACAAUCACUGUAGUGAGAAGAUUAAAUGAUUAUUAAAAUCAAAUAGUUAUUUUCAUUUAAAAACAUUUACAAUUGAGUAAACAAGUGGUAUCAAUUUAAGUGAUCGAUUUACUAUUUUAAAUCAUCAAUCAUACUUACAAAAUUUACACAACUUUUACUUUAAAACCGUUGGCUCUUAAAAAUAGAAACAUGAGCCCCCUGUCAAAUUGUAGAAUUACCCUAAAAUUAAUCUAAGUAGACCCAUGAAUGACCUUGGUCUGUUCCCACCCCUAGUGAUUGGUUCAAUGUAAAAAAAAUAAAAAGAAAAGAAAAGAAAAAGAAUAAGAAUCAAUUUCUGAACAAUUGGUUAAGAAUAAGCAUCACAACUCUGCUCUAGCUCUACUUGGAUUAAGUAGCACGGUUUCGAUUCAAGAAUAGCAGCGGCACAAAUACGACAACAAAUAAGGAGACGAAAAACAGAGUCCAUGUAGUGAACUUCAGCUUCAAUGGAAAAGCAGUUGCAGUGGCGUGGCAAAAUGCUGCGGCAGCUAGAAACAGUGGAACUUUUUCCAACGCUUGUGCAGUUUAGGUAUUGUUUUGGCUGAUAAAUAAUGCAACGAAGAGAAUGACAAAUAUAAGCAAGACAGCAAAAGAAUUGAAGAUAUAUAAUAUUAACUCAAGCUUUUGUGUACAGUACAGGUCUUAGUUGAGAGUAGGUGCCAACUUCUUAUUGAGCAUCUGAAAUCUUUUGUAACUGUAGAGAGUUUUUCUUAUCACAAAGCUAGAUUUCAUAUGCCACUAGAAGUCUUCCAUCAUGGUUCAAGACUUGUGAUGGUACACUAGCUGGAGGGGCCUUAAUAAAAUUUCACUUUUCAAAGAAAAAGUUGAUGUGCUUAGAGUAGAAGAAUUAGAUCGAUCAGACAACUAUGGGCAGCUCACAUCAUGGAGCACGCCUGUACGACUGAUUAUGGGUCAUGGCUGAAGUCCAUGUAGUGAACUUCAGCUUCAAUGGAAAAGCAGUUGCAGUGGCGUGGCAAAAUGCUGCGGCAGCUAGAAACAGUGGAACUUUUUCCAACGCUUGUGCAGUUUAGGUAUUGUUUUGGCUGAUAAAUAAUGCAACGAAGAGAAUGACAAAUAUAAGCAAGACAGCAAAAGAAUUGAAGUAUUUGACUCAUUUUAUCUUUGGAUAAUGCUCAUUACGUUCAUUUGUGUUGAACACUAAUUGCAUCAAUCUUGUGUGUAUAUAUGUACAGUGGGUCAAAUGAGACUAUAAGGAGAAAAAUGAAAUGUACUGUCUUGAAUCCUUUUUGCUUAGUUAGGGAGGCAAAGAGAAAGAAAAUACGCAGGACACUUGGGGCAUUUAAUAAAACUACAAAUAAAAAUCCAUAUCUAAUGGAUAUUGAUAUUUUAUAAAAUUUUAUGAAAUCUAUUAAAUUGCAUCUUACUAUCACAAUUAUAAAACUUAUUAUAUAAAACUCCACAAAAUUUAAAUUUUAAGCGUGAGUCAAGAACAAUUGUAACAACAAAAACUAAAUUACAUCCUCCUAUAAUUGUCACAUUUUCUCUUAAUCAAUGUAGUGAAUGGAUAAUCAUUCUUUUUCAAUUUAAGAAAUUUCUUAUAUAUGUUAUAGAUCUUGGGAAAGUAUAUUCUCAAAAACUAUUUUAAAUGUCAUAAAAACCUUUCAAAAUUGUGCAAAAUUAAUGCAGUGACUUAUCCCAUUCCUCCAUUGAUGGAUAUAUUCUAAAAUUACUAUCAAUUUACUCCAGUUGACAAAAUAUUCUCUUAAUUCCAAAGCGCUAUUGAGUAUGUCAGUCUGAAUCCAAUUUUAAAAGAAGAUCUUUAUCCCAUGAUUUCUCACCUUAUAGCUUCACUUAAUUUACUGUUUCUAAAACUUGAGUUUUCUCAAUUCUGUCUCACUGUUCCUUAUCUUCAAAAAUAUAUCAUCCAUCACACGCAACUUAUGGUAGCUGGUGUAAUAACAACAGAGAAGUAGCCUUAAUUACGAUCACUUUCUUUUAUUUGUUGAACAAUAUCAUCAUCCAAAAAAAUUUAUCUACAGUAAUCUAACUUAAUUUCUUAUUCAUAUUUCCACUUUGAGCUUCGAAUAAUUUCAGUUAAAGUAUUUGCAAUAGUUAUACUCUAAACUUUUGAAAGCAAGAAUCUUCAUCUUUAAUUCCCAACUUUUAUUACCAAAGUGUACUAUCAAACAACUUUUAUUGCCAAUUUUUGUUCAGCAAUAUCUAAUGGAUAUUGAUAUUGAUACCUAAUAAUUAGAAUUUUAUGAAAUAUGUCAAAUUGCAUCUUACCAUCUUAAUUAUAAAUCUCACUAUAUAAAAACUCCACAAAUUUAAAUUUUAACCAUGAGUUAAAAACUGUUGCAACAACAAAAACUAAAUUACAUUUCCCACAAAUUAUGUUAAUUUCUUAACCACCAACAUAAGAGUCUUUGGUGAAAUGAUAAAGUCUGAGGAGAAAGAAGUCAACUUCCAUGCUUUCAAGUAAAAGAUCAAGAGUUCUAAGCCAACCAAUCAAUGAGGAUGUCAGACAAUUGAGUGGAGAGGAUGUAAUGAGCUAACUUUUGUAUAAAGCAAUGACAGGGUAGAACUAUAUAGGAGACUAAGUCUUUUGUAGUUUAAGAGAAAAUGUCUCUAUUUCAAAUAUUGUAAUAGCACUUGAUGGUAUAUUUAAAAAUAUUUAUUAAGUCUUUAAGGAAAGAAAUGUCUCCAUUUCAUGCAUUGUAACAAUUAUUGGUGACAUAUGUAUAAAAGUUUGUCAGCUCUUUAUAAGGGAUGAGCAAUUGACGAAUUGUUAAGUUACCUCACUAGUUAAGUUAUGUUUGUAACUAACCAUCUAAAGCCGCCCCUAUAGCCCAAACAUGUGCACUUUCAAAUAUAAGAAGAUGACAACUUUGCCAGCAAUAGCGUGUCCCCACACCUCACGCGGAAUUGAGGGACCCUCCAUAUUCCAAGCCAAGCAUCAGUCACGCAACUUCGAUUAAUAUAGUCGUACUUCGAUUCUACCACCACUCCACCAAAAAAAACCCUUGCUUUAUAGAGAGUUGAGAAAUUUAAUCGUUUUUUUAAAAUCAUACUUUUCACACAUUAGAUUCUAUUCACAUUUACUAAUUAAUUAUAGAAGUGUCAUUAAUUAUAACUCUUUCACGUCAAAAUUUUUUCAGUACCAUAUGGGAAAAUGGGACCACCUUCAUGCUCUUUUUCCCCAUUAUUAUAUUUAGAGUUGAUUGUCAAUUAAUUGAAUAUGACAUGUAUUUACCAGCAUUAAUCAGCAUUCACAUCAACGGUGCUUAACAAGAUCCAAAUAUAUAUGAGCAUGACAUGUAUUAAGAACUAUUAUUCUUAGGAUUGAUCAUUCAUGACGUGUUCAACCAAAUUGAAUAAAAUCUUAACGAAGCUUACCAAAUCCGAUUUCGUUCUUUUACCUUUCACUCAUGUAUCUCUUUUUAAAAAAAAGUAACAACUUAGAUACAAUGACAAAUCAAACUAAUCCUUAAUUAGGGAAUGUUUAAUAAAGAUACUAAUCAAAGUUCAGUUUUACAUUAUCUUUCAUUUGGCAAAGCACGUGUUUUUAUGAUAAUUCAUCUUAUAUGCUAUAUUCCAUAUGUGGAAGCUUAUAAUUCUACCACAACUCCAAGGCACAGCCUUAUUAUUAUAAGCUUUUAUUAGAGUUGCAAAAAAUCCAAAUGUUGCAUUCCAACAAGUUGUUCUUAAAUCUUAAAAUAGCUAAGUUCCAAUUAACAGGUACCCAACUUUUAGUAUAAGUAACACUAAAUCCAUCUCAUGCAAGAUAACAGAAGAAGUUUUCUGUCGUUAACUACAACUUUUAUGGACCAAAAGAUCCAGAGUUGCCAUUUACAAGCAUGAUAGUACAUCAGAAAAUGAUAUGAACUUCCCACAAACAAUCCAAGAGUUUCCAGCAGAAAAUGCAUUCUUUUUCAGCGGUUAAAGAUGUCUUCGAAAUAAUAUGUGAACACAGAAAAUAUCACUUAGCAACGGAUCAAAUAGAAUAAAAGGCUCUAGAAAAUCAUUUGUUAGUAAGUUUUGCCCUCCUUCAUACUCUUCUACACGUCAACCAUUAUAAAGCAGUUUAAUUCUAAAUGAGCUAAAAAGGUGGAUAUGUCAGUGAUAUUGAUUUGUUUGGAGAGUUACAGAGAGCAGGAAACGGACAUUCAGGACCCAAAAACAAAAACUUUACAAAUACAUAAACAGAAAUAAUAUAUACUAACCUGGAGUGCAAGGCAGACAUUUUCCAUUUCUGCAUCAAAGUUGGGCUUCUCUUUCACAGUGACAAGUUCCAGCACAGCACAGCAAGACAUCUCAAGAGGUUCCAACGCUGGUAAGGCAAUAGAACCACCGACUUUACGGUUGACAGCAUGUGAAAACCGCAAGUACUCAUCCUCACUGUAAUGGGUUACAUUAGAAGUCCACUCAGGAACUCUAGAGAUGAAAACACGACCGGGAAGCCCAGGGAAGGAACGCGGUUUCAGUUCUGCAGAGAAGAUAUACGUCCUUCACACGUCACGAUAACCAGAAAGUAUCUGGUCUAGCAAAUAGGGCUGAUCAGAAGUGGUCAACAUAUACUGAUCUCCAUGCUUAACUGGAACCCAUACUUUUGCCAAGAUGCCUCCUCCAGAUGACUCCUUAAACAAGGGCAGUGCUCUAAGCAUCUUCUCAUCAAGUGAUUGUCCAACUGGCCUUGAAAUCAACGAGUUUGCCACAUCUGAAGUAUUAUUUUGUCUAUUACCACCAUUAUUUCGUCUAACACCCUGUUCAUCGGUAUCUGUGGAAUCCAACGGAUUACCAAAGUGCGCAUCUGUUUGCUGGAACACCAUUCUAUCCACACAAUUAUAAGAACCACCCAUGCCACUUAACGCAUCACCACCUUCAACAAAGGUACCAGAACUUUGUUCUGUAAUAUUUAAUGAAUCAAGAGAGGCACAAGGAAAGGAUGGAUAGGAGGACAAACCGAAGGAGGCAAACAUCUGAUCUGUAGCUGCAGGGCUGUUACACCACCUAGCAUAAGAAUCGAAGUUCAUGAGCUCUGAGAAGUUGAAAGUAUCCUCAGAAAUUGAAUUUUUGGUACUGCCACCUAACUGUUCCCCACCAAAGAUGACAACCAAAAUUUUACAGUCUCCAAAGCCGCCGCAAAUCACUGCAAGAGAAGUCCACUGCUCUCAAUCAACAUUAACUCACAAAACCCACCUCAGAUUCAUCCACUCAUACAUAAAAAUUCAAAAUUCUAAAUAAAAAACCCAAAAAAGAAGUACGUAUCAAAAAGAUGAAAUGAAAUUUCUGGUGAAAUGAACCAAACAUCGAAUUCAAGACCCAGUGCACUAUUCCCAAUCAAAAGAAAAAUACUUUACUAAAUAUACAUGUAGCACAGUAAUUUAAGAAAUUGCCAAAAUUGGCAAUUCUUUUUCCUUUUAUAAAAUUCAAAUGAAAUUCGAGUGAAAUAAAAUGAACAAGAAAUGAAAUUCCCAAAACUUCAAAUAAAAGAAAAUCAAAACGAAAAAAAAAAAAAAACCUAUAAAAUCUGAAGCUCCUUGAAAUUUUGUAAAAAAAAAUGUCGUUAUAUGAUAUUAAUAUAAUGUUGAUGUAAAAAGUGAAAAAUGUUAUAUGAUCACAUUAACAUGUCAUGUCAUUAUCAAUUAUGAUAUNAGUAAUUUAAGAAAUUGCCAAAAUUGGCAAUUCUUUUUCCUUUUAUAAAAUUCAAAUGAAAUUCGAGUGAAAUGAAAUGAACAAGAAAUGAAAUUCCCAAGACUUCAAAUAAAAGAAAAUCAAAACGAAAAAAAAAAAAAACCUAUAAAAUCUGAAGCUCCUUGAAAUUUUGUAAAAAAAAAUGUCGUUAUAUGAUAUUAAUAUAAUGUUGAUGUAAAAAGUGAAAAAUGUUAUAUGAUCACAUUAACAUGUCAUGUCAUUAUCUAUUAUGAUAUAUUAGUAUGUCAUUUUAUAAUUAAUUAUGACAUGUUGACAUACCACAUUAACUUAUGUGAUCUAAAAUGACAAAUGAUAUUUUGACUAAGUAAAUCAUUAAUUAUAAGAAUUCAUUUAAUUCAAAAUAAAAAUAUAAAAAUAUAUUUCAUUCAAAGUAAAAUUAUAAAAAAUUAAUUGAACAUAAUAAAAGUAUAUGACUUAUUUGAAUUUUUUUGAAUAAUUUAAGAAAUUUUUUUAAAUAUUAUUCCAAAUAAAUUUAAAAACAAUGAGCAGUAAUGAUGAAGAUAGUGGAAAUUGAAAAAGAAUAGAUAAAUGAGAAGCAUUUUAAGAAAAAGAAGAAAGUAAGUGAGAAAUUGCUUUUUUUUUUUUAUUAAGGAGGCCUUUGCUUUGCUGGGGAUUAUGAAUCUCAUUAUUGUUGCUAUGUAGUUAAGUUUGGUACUGUACUAUAUGAGUUUAGAAUAGUAUUAAAAUCAUUGGACAUUUACAAUGACUGGGGUGAGAAGAUUAAAUGCUUAUUAAAAUCAAAUACUUAUUUUCAUUAAAAAUAUUUGUAAUUGAGUAAACAAAUGGUGAUUGAUUUACUAUUUUAAAUCAUAUCAAUUAUAAAUAUAAAAUUUAUUUAUAUUUUUUAUUAUUUUAUUCAACAAAAUUGCACAACUUUUACAUUACAAGCGUUGGCUCUAAAAAAAAUUGAAUCAGGAGCCACCUGUCAAAUUGUAGAAUCACCCUAAAAUUAAUCAAAAUUUAUUAAACUGAGCAGGCCAAUGAAUGACCUUGGUCUGUGUUCCUCUGUUCCCAUCCCUAGUGAUAGGUAAGAAUUGUAGCAAGGGAGCUGCAAAGCCGUCAAGUGGUUGUGGUUAACAGGUCAAGAUUUUCCCCUUUUCUUUUCUUCUUUAUUAUUCUGAGUGACAGAGGGCUCUGUUUUUGGAGCUUAAGUUUUGAUGUACUUCGAGAACAACUUUAAGCACGUGUUAUGAUGUUUGGAUGUCAUGACUCAUAACAUAACCUUAUUUAAUGAAAAUUUUUGUUUUGCCGCGUCUGACGGAGAAAGAAAAACAAUUCAUGAUACUUGCUAAAUUUCCUCCAAAAUAAAAAUCUACUUUGCCCGUAACCAUACAAGCAUGCCUCACAGUCUCAGCCAAUAAAUGGAAUUAAUCAAAUCACACUUCUUCUUUUUUUUAUAUUAACAGUUACACCAUUUUUCAACUUGAAAUAGCGGAAUAAAGAAGCAAAUUAAGUGUGGAAGUAAUGGCAAAUAAAUGGAAUUAAUCCUAUAGAUUUGGGAGGCAGUGUCUGCAACACCAAUACAAGGUAAAAUGCUACGAUUACUAAUUAUCUGUUUCCUUGUACAUAGAUUUUUUUGUACCAUAUUGAUCCAAAGAAAUAAGGGGAAGAAGGAAUCAAUUUCUAAGCAAUUGAUUAAGUAUAAACAUUACGACUCUGCUCUAGCUCUACUUAAGAAGCACUACCUCGACUCAAGAAUUGCGGUGGCACAAACACGACAACAAACAAGGAGACGGAGAACAGAGUCCAUGUAGCGAACUUUAGGUUCAAUGGAAAAGGAAUUGCAGUGGCGUGGCAAAAUGCUGCGGCAGCUAGUAACAGUGCAACUUUUUCCAACACUUGUGAAGUUCUGGCAUGGUUUUGGCUGAUAAAUAAUGCAACCAAGAGUAUGACAAAUAUAAGCAAGACAGCAAAAGAAAGCAACACGAAGGAAAAAGGGGGCUCCUUGUCCUUGGAUUGAUCGGUUUGUGAAAAUUGGAGAGAGAAUCCAAAGGCAAAAGUGAAGCAAAAUGUCAAUAUUGCACUUUGCCACUGUAGAUGCGGCUGAGCAGCGAGUAAAUUAAGUAGUUGUGACUCCGCAUUGAAGGAAGGGGACGUUGACGGUGGUGGGCGCAGAGGCAGUGUCGACGGCGGCGAUAUUUCUAAGUCGAUAACAGGAGAAGGCAGUGAUGAUGGCUGCUGCUGUUGUGAUUGGGGUGACUGUGAUCUUGUCGUGUCUAAUUUAGGACAAAGUCGGAGGACAAGUGCUGCAAUUAGAGCAAGAAAUGCUUUAACUUUCUCUUGAAUAACGCCCAUCACGUUUAUUUGUAUUUAAACACCAAUUGCAUCAACCUUGUUGCGCGUGUAUAUAUAUUUAUAGUGGGCAAAAUAAGGCGAUAAGGAGAAAAGUGAAUAAAAAAAAAGCUAAAAGAAUGUGUAAGCUUAAACCCCCUUUGACAAUAUAAAAAAAUGGAAAGAUCCGAUUAUUACCUCCGAAUUCUCUUUACUUUAUAAAAAAAUGUGAAUUUGAUGAUGACUAAAAAUCCCAAAUGUAGAAGCCUUUUAUGUCAAGAGGGUAUGGCAUGGGACUGGACCACUAGGGUCAUUGUCUUGGAUACUUUUUGGCUUUUUGCUAAGUUGGGGGGCAAAGAGAAAGAAAAUACACAACACACUUGGGGUAUUGGACUUUGGCUCACCUGCACAAACUAUUCUUAAACAGCUUAUCGGAUCGAAGUUUGGUGUUUCCUCGCAAAUAGACCAUCAAAUGAGAGAACAAAACGAGAGAGAGAGAAGGUUAAGCUAAAGGUACUUAAAAAAUGAGAUAAAAGACGUGCGGUGCGGUGACUUUAUGUUGAACACAAGAAAAUGUGUGUUUAAGUUUUAAGGACCGAAAUUCGGAUCUUAUGGCUCUCACCGCGGACAGGAAGUUGGAAGGGAAGGUCCAAUAGAUGAAGACAAGAAAAAACGAGUGCAAAAAGAGGCUCGCUCGGCUUAACACAAAAUGACUUUUUUUUUUCUUACCUUCUUUUGGUUUGCUGCAAUUCUUCUACCUCAUAUUUUAGCUGAAAUAAUUAUGAAAAAAAAGACCGAUGAACCAAACAUGCAAAGACAUUAUUAUUAAGUUUUACUUAUGAUAUUAGAUUAACUAGGAAUAUCCUUAUUAAACAUUUAAGAAUUGCACCUAUAUAUUUCAUCCUAAACCCUAAUUAACCCUAAUAAUGAGAAUUCAUGAUUUGUGUUUAAUUUUUAGAGGUGCAAAUUAAGUGCAUUGCACCUAUUUAUUUCCUCCUCUAAAAUGUUUAUCAGGGUAGUUUCUUUUACAUGUUAAUCAAAUGCUACAUUAUCAGGAGAAGGCAGUGAUGAUGGCUGCUGCUGUUGUGAUGGGGAUGACUGUGACCUUGUAGUGUCUUGAACGCCAAUUGCAUCAAUCUGGUUGUGUGUGUAUGUAUAGUGGGCAGAACAAGGCAAUAUGGGGAAAAGUGAAUAAAAAAAGCUAAAAAAAUGUGAAGGCUUAAAUCCUUUUGACCAUACGGAGAAAGUGAAAAGAUCCGAUUAUCACAUCCGAGUCUCUUGCACUCGAAUUUAACUAUGAUUAAAAAAAUCCGAAAGUCACCUGCUUUGACGGGGUAAGGAAAAUAUAUAAGCCUUUUUGAAGUCAAACGGAUAGCACAUGGGUCUGGGCCACUGGGGUCAUUGUCUUGAAUACUUUUUCUAGGCAAAGAGAAAGAAAAUACACAAUACGCUUGGGGCCUUGGACCUUGGUUCACCUGCACAAACUACUCCGAAACAACUUAUCGGAUUAUAGUUUGGUGUUUCCUCGCAAACAACCAAUCAAAAGAGAGAACAAAACAACACAGAGAGACCUUAUGCUGAGAUAGACCUUAAGCUAAAGGUACUUAGAAAUUGAGAUAGACUUUAUGUUGAACACUAGCAAAUAUGUGUUAAAGUUUUAAGCAUGGCCCCCAAAGAAAGGCAAAUAAGUGAAGACAAAGAAGAAAACGCGUGCUGAAAAGAGGACCGGCUCGGAUUAAUAUAAAAUGAAUUUUUGUUCUUAGGAAGUUUCCUAUAAAUUUUCUUAUCCUUCUUUUGGUUUGGAGCAAUUUUUGUACUUGAUAUUUUAGCUGAAAGAAAGAUGAAAAAAGAAUGAUGAACCAAACGUACAAAGACUUUUUUUUUAUACUUAUGAUAUUAGAUUAACUAGUAAUAUCCUGAUUAAACAUUUAAAAAUUGCACCUAUAUAUUUCAUUUAAAGUACCCUAAACCCUAACAAAGAGAACUAGUGAUUUGUGCUUAAUUUUUAAAGGUACAAAUUAAGUGCACCUAUAUAUUUCAUCCUCUAAAAUGCUUAUCAUGGUUAUUUCUUGUACAUGUUAAUCAAAUACUAAAAGUAUAAGACUUUUACAUUUUAGGUAAAGGAAAAUAAAAUUACAAAAUUUUAGGAUUAUUUACAUAAUAUUUUAAAUAUUUAACCUUCCCUCAACUUAUGCAAAAGCGUAUCCAAAAUCUUGAAUAAAAUGCUUCACAUACUUUCAAAUCACUCCUUUUGUUUUCCCUUAAUCUUCACUAAUUUUAAUGAAGAAACUUUUAGAAAAGUUGCUUGUACAAAUUACAAGUUAAAAGUCUGAUUAUAGAUACUUAAUAAGAUUAGUUAAAUUGUUAUUUAAAAAAAUAUUAAAUUCAAAGAGACGUUAUAUUUUAAUUAUUAAUCAUAUAUCUUUUUAAAGAUAUCACGUUAAGGUUUUCUAAAAAAAAAAAGAAAAAGAUAGUAAACCAAAAUUCAUUUCCUAAUAUCAGACGAAAAGGAGAACGAAAAAGUAACGAUGUGAUCAUGCAAGCCAAGUGUUAUCCACAUAGAUGAAGGGGUGAUAGGAAUUAGGUUAGGGCCUAUAGUAAUGUACCACGGGCUUGACAUUUUACGGUCCUUGUCCGGUUGGGCGUCGCAGCUCAGCCCUGCCUAGAAACAUUUUUAGGAUGUUAUUCUUCAUCAGAGUACCUCUCUUGAAAUUUUUCGUUUUUAUUAAAAAAUCUAAACUAGCUAACCAAACAAAUGAACCUUUUAGAUUUGAGUUUUAAAACUCUUACUUACCCUAAAUAAGAGUUAACAAUAGUUUUUGGUAUUUUACAGAAAUAUAUUUUUAUUUUUCUCAAUUAGAAUAAAUAUGUAACUGUGAAUUAAGUUGUUAAUACAUCACCCAAACUUAUGGCGUAAACUACUUUCAAGUGCUUCGACUUGACUAAUUGCCUGCUUUGCCUUAUACGGUAUCCGGAACCUUCUAGUGCAUCAUGGGCUGAAAGGCCUACCUCCAAAACCUUCGGCUAUCUAUCUUGCUUCGUGCUCUACAACCUUUCGCUCAGUUUUGCCUCCGUCAAAACAAUGCCCUGCAACUCUACGGCCCAUUUUCUACUUGGGCCUUCACCCUUCUGACCCACUUAUAGUAUACUUGGGGUCUGACCUGGACUUGGGCCAUGACACAAAUACUAAUAAUUUUCUUUUUCUGAAACCAAGUGCCAGUAUCUUUGUUCCUUUACUAACAAAAUUGUCAAUCAAAAUAGGAGUAGCAUCACAAGCUGUCCAUGGCUCAGGUAAACCACCAGACCUGCGGGUCUAAACUAACUUGGAUUGGGCUUUGGACAGGAUAUUUUAGGUCCAGCUCGAUUUGACAUAGGAUUACAUUUAAUAAAAAAUUAUUUUUUGUUUACUUUCAUUUUUAAAAAUAUUAAUAUAAAAUAUUUUUAACAUAAUAUCUAAAAAGUUCUUAAACUAUUUAAAAAAAUUCAAAUAAACCAUUAUACUUGUAUUGUGUUGAAUCAAACUCUUAUACUUUUAUUUUAAAUUAAUUAAACUCUUAUACUUUUAUUCUAAGUCAAAUAAUUGUUCAUAACUAAUAAUUAAUUGAAACAAAAUAUCAUUUAUUAUUUUAUAUCACAUGAUAUUAACAUGACAUUAACGUGACAUAUUAAUAUAUUAUAAUAAAUGAUAAUAUGACAUGUUGAUGCAAUUUGAUGACAUGAUUAUUGUAUUUUUCACUCUUCACAUCAAUAUUAUGUGAGUAAAAUAUAACAAAAAAUAUUUAAAUUAAUGACAAUUAAUCAAUCAUUAAUUAUAAAGGCUUAUUUGAUCCAAAAUAAAAAUAUAAAAACUUGAUUAAAUGUAAUAAAAGAAUAAAUAUUUAUUUAAAUUUUUUUAAGUAAUACUUUUUAUAUAUAUAUAUAUAUAUAUAUAUAUAUAUAUAUAUAUAUAUAUAUGAUAUAGUUACUUUCAAGCACCUAUUUGGGAAAAUAUGGCCAUCGAUGACUAUAUUUGAUUUCAAGAAUAAAAAUCACAAAACUAGUGAUUAAUUCAGAAUUAAAUAAACCAAAAGACAUGCGUACAAGUAAAAGUCCAAAAUUAAGGCUUAAUUCCUCUAAAUUUGUGAAUACCCUUUGAAAGUAACAAAUAGACCAUGCAUGCCGGCUAUAGCACUACAAACUUUAUGUUGACUUCACUAAUAAUAUACAUUUAUUCGCAAAAUAAUAUCAUGUCAAGUCCAUAACCUUGGCUGAUGGAUCCUUCCCAAACGUAUUCUUCCACGCAAUAGAUCAAGAAAUGUACGACGUCGGAAGUGAGGCAUGUCAUCUUGACUGAAAGGAAAAUAAUUCCCAUGUGUGAGGCAGUCGGCAUAUUUCAUGACAAAGAGGCCACAAUCCACGGAGCUGCAUUGUCAAUGAAAAGAUUGAGAGUGUAACGAAAUACCAUUUAUAAAAUGAAAAACUAAAAGCUUCACUAAUUCUCUUAAAUGAGGACAGCUUGCUUACUUCUUUUGCAUAGGAAUAUUUUCUGGGACAAGAAACGGCCAAUCCUUGGCAUUAUUAUGACCCAUGGAUGGCAAUAGAAACUCUGAAAACCACCGCCUGAUCACCUGUUUCUCUGAAGCAUUGGACAUUCGAGAAUAUUCGUUUGGAUCCAUCCAUAGCAAUUUUUUAUCGUCAAUGUCAGCAUAAAAAAGAAGCCAAUGUUCGCUCCAACACAUUGGCAGAAACAACUGCAGUGAGUCAGCGACAGAAAAACGAAAGUGAUAAUUGUGCCUACCUAUAGAUUAUGAGUUAUGACAUUGCAUUAAACAGACUAACUUAUAGGGAAUAAAAAUAGUUACCUUGCUCACGCCUAUCAAGUCCUCUUGUUUAACCCAUCUUAACACUUCAGAUUCAGCCUUUGAUCCAUUAAUCAAGAAAGUCUGAGUUCAUCAUAUAUAGUUGAAAAGUUAUUCUCUUGCCAAUGAUCAUACACAUAUAAAAAAAAUCUUAAUUAUGAUUUUAAAUAAAAGGCCCUUACAGCUGUAGCAGAAUCGAAGGAAUGAUGCUUCAGGUAUUUAUGUGGGAACUUCUCAUACCUUCUUUUAAGCAAAAUGAAGAACCGAUUCACAACCUUCAAAUAUGGGCAAGGCACGUCUUAAUAUAUGCAUUCAGCUUAUCAUUUCAAGCUACUAGUAUAUUUCCAAGAAAAAAAAAACCGAAAGAGAAAUAUUAUUUUGAAAGGACACUAACCGUAUCCUCGACAUAAUAAUUUUUUACAUCUCCUGAACCAAUAUCAUCUUGAGGAAUUCUAAGCAAAGGUGCUAAUGCUUUAUCCUGUAUCUUAUCUCGUCCAAUUAUUUCUCUUCAAAACAGAACAACAAAUAAAUAAAUUUCAUUAUGAUUACAAUGAUAUCAACGCUUAAUUAAACUAUCAUAUUUGAUAGGAUGUAUCAUGUAAUGGCACACAUACGUACCCACUUAUUUCAUGACUUUGCCAUUUGCUCAAAUGUUUUUCUUCUUUUUCCGUUAAAGGAGAGAUCAAAUAUGCCUGAACAUCCUACAAAAAUACAGAAAAACAACAAAAGUAAGAGUAUUUUUUUUUUUUGGUUAGUUUAUGUUAAAAAACCUUUUACUAGUAAAUCAAUUUCUGAAAAUUUGAAAUCUUUGCCAUUCAAAAAAGAUUGAAAACCUUUUAGGCAUACGAGAUGUUAAAUAGUACUAGCCCUAGAUUUUAGGUUGAGUUUCCUCAUAUAGGAUUUAAUUAAUAAGUACAAAAUAGGAAGGGUAUUGCUUGUACCUUCUCUGACCAUGCUCUGGCCUCCCUCCCUAUUUCUUCAUUCCAUGGUGCUUCAUCAUCAGAUUCGGAAGAGAAGUGGUCUAACUCCGAAUGAUGUGCAAGAGGUCGACUAUCCUUCAAUUUGACAGUGAGGCAGCCUAUGUUUCCUCUCUUAUUAGGUUCCACGUUUGAAAAAGCUCGGUCGAAAUAACUAAAUAGCUAACAGAGAUAAUAUGAUGAUAAGAAUGGAUCAUGAAGAUAUUACUUACUUGCCCUUGGAGAUUCUAACCAAUCCCUGCCGCAUAUCAUAGCCUCUAUGAUCUGAGGAUUUAAGCCAUUGAAUAUUGGAUUGUCCAUCAUAACUUUUUCAGCCAAAGUAGAACCUGAUAUGAUCGAUGACAUAGGCAUUGCUAAGAUAUCACGAGCCAUCCUCCCAAGAAUAGGAAAGCUUGAAGCAUGUCCGCGCCACCAACCAAGUACGUCAAACUCCAUUUCGGAACACAUUACAGGUCCCUGAACAUACUUAUCAAAUUCCGACUUCCAUGAAACCUCAGUGUUAACAUUCCUUUUAUAAUUGUACCACCUAUGGAAAGAUUCCAUUGUAUUUUCUUCAGCUUUGAAAAUUUUCAAGGAAUUUUUAUCAUCGAAGAGAGAUGUCCCACUGUACAUAUUACUUGCAUAUUCAUUGAAAAAACCAGUGAGAGCAUUACGAAUGAUUGCCAAGUGAAUCCGGGCUGCAUCAAAGCCAUAGAUGUUAUUGUAUGAGAACUCCACAAAAUCAAAUUUAAAUCGUGGAUCAAGAAUAGCUGCAAUUGCCAAAACCAAGCUGCACGUCCUCCAAUUGUUAUCAGAUAUCACAUUCAUCAAUGGAUAGCCUUUUCUUUCCUGCUCACUCAGUUUCUUGUAUUUAUCAUAAAUGUCCAGCAAACAUGCACUUGAAGUUUUGAUGGCACCAUCAAUAGAUUUUCCGACAUUUUGAAGCACGUCAUCCAUCUCACUUGAUUGAUCCUUAGCAAGGAGACCAUUAAUGCACCCAUCACAGCUGAUGUAAAAUGUGCUUAAAGGAUGUGGAGCUCUGAAACAGAGCCAGGCUUUUCUUAUUUCUUCAGCUAUCUCCAAACUUGAGGAGGAAUUAUGCAUGGUUAAGGAGCAAACUUUCUUGUCAAAAUUCCAGUCCUUAAGCAAACUCUUGAAAUUUUCAAGGAAAAUCCUAGUGUCAAAUUCUUGCCCGAAAUUUUUCAAGGCAAGAACUUUCUUCUUCAAUUUCCAAUUGUCAUCAAUAAAUUGGACAGUAAAACAACAAUGAGUAAUCUUUUCAAGAUCAUUUGCCCACAAACUGACUGUCAAAUUAAAACGACAAGAGAGCGUAUCAAAAUAUUCAAUGUGUCUACCUUUUUCCUCUUUAUAGACACGAAAUAUGUCAGAUGCUAGAAUUUCUUGCGAUUGAAGUUUGAACCUUGGUUGCAAAUUUUUCAAAAGAGUGCUGAAAUAUUCAUCCUCAACUAUAUUCAAUGGGUACUGAUGCUUAAUAAUCAUUCUUGCAACAUCCAUGCGACUCGUAUCUUGAUCAAAUGAAGAAUUACCUUGUUGAUCUUCAACUUUGGAAGAAUUACCUUGUUUAUCUCCAACUUUGGUUCGUUUGCUUUUACAACGUUCCAAGUGAUUUCUUAGGUGUGAAGUUCCUUUCCUACUUGAACCAUCAAACCCUCUACCACAAUGUGAACAUAUAGCCCAUUCUUUCCCAUCGCCAUCUUUUUUCUUGGUAAAUUCAUCCCAAACAUCAGAUCUCGACUUUCUCCUUUUACCACAAUGAGGAAUGUUUGGAAUGGCUUCUUCCUGCAAACCGACUUCAGUGCCAUGAACUCUUAGCUUUACAAACUUUGUCUUCAUUUUUUUCAAGUCUUCGAAGAUACGAAGUGCCAAGGAUUUUGGUUCCUCAAGUUGUUCCUCAGAUGAGGACAAAAAGAAUUCUAGUAUAUAAACAUCAUCAGUAUAAUGGUUGACUAGACAGAUUGCAAGGGCCGCAUGUAAGCCUGACUUCUGUGCAGCCUCAGCAAAUGGAUUGCUCCUAAGCUCAGUAAUAUUUGGUUCAAAAAGGAAGGGCUCAUUUGAUUGAAGCGCUUGUCCAGCAAUAGCUUGCCCUUCUUGAAUAUCAUAUAUUGCACAUUCUUGCAUGAAAGACUUAUACUGAAUAAUUUUCUCUAAACAAUCAUAAUAAUAAUAACAAUAAUUAAUAUAAGAGUAAGUAGUUUCGAUGGAUAGAGAACGUUUCUUGUUUAGACCUGACAUGAUUCCAUUCGGGGUUCCCUUCACCCAUGUUAAAGCCAAUGGAAGCUCAUAUUUCAAACAUACAUCUUCUAACAUGUCAUAUAUCUCAGCAAAAGCAGCCAAUCCAUUCAAUGAGGACGCCUGUUAAUUAAAAAAGGUAAUAAUGAAUUACUAAGAGCAAAACAAGAAAAUCCAAAAUAACACUUGGGAAGAGGCACAACCACUCCUCAGGUUAACACUUGUUUUUGGACCAUUUUGUAUGCAACUUAAUUCUAAAUACCUCGCUAUUGGCAUCUUUUGUCUAGAAGCAGUAAGAGACUCUGGAUCCUUCGUUCCACAAAUAGCAAAUAAGAUACACAAAACAUUCAAAAUAUGUAACCUCUAGGCAAGUUAAUACGGCUAAAGAACCCUUUUGCAAAAGAAUGAAGUAGUUUUCUACUUUCAAAUGUUACUUUUUCUUAUUUUUUGUUUUUUGUUUUCAAAUGUCACAUUCCAAUUGCAACUUUUUUUUGUCGAAGUAUUAAAGGAAUCUUAGCUUUUCUUGUUAAUAGCAAGGAAUGUAAUGUCUGUAAUUACAUGACUUCAAUUUAAUAAUUUUUCCAAACUUUCAAUCUCAAGAUUUGUAAUAAUUUAAUAUCCAGGUGUUACCCUUAAUGUAUAUCCUUGGAUGAAAUUUUAUAUUUUUUUUGUACUUCAAAAACUACAAGCAAGCUUUUAACCAUCUCCAGGCAACCAAACUUUUUUUAAUUCGUAGAAAAGCUUUUACAUAAACCAUUUUUAAAAAAAAUAUUUUUCACCGAAUAAACAGAUUUGAACUCAAAUUUUAAUAUGCUUUAAUUAAACUAUCUUUAUCUUUAUCUUUUAUAUAUAGUGAACAACAUAUAUAUUAUUAACAAUUUAUUAAAUUAAUAAGUUUGUCCUUCAUUAAUGAUUUUUUAUUAAAUUGAAACGGUAACUGAUUUUUAUUUAUUUGGUUAGUAACAUUGAAGUCUUUAUUCAAGUAAAUUUUCUUUAAUUGAUAAUAUUCUUAUUAAAUUAAUUAUUGACUAAUUUUUAUCUAUCAAUUUCCUUAUUAAUCUUGAACUAUUUACUAAAGUAAAAUUUUCUUUACUUUAAAAAAAGUAAAACAUUCUUAAUAAAAUUUAAAUCUAGCUAAAUCAAAACUAGAAUUUUUUUUAUUGAAUUAUUAAUGAAUUUAAAUAUUUAUGAGAUUACAAAACUAGUUUAAAUUCUUUAAUGAUUCAAUAAAAUAAAAUUUACUACUCAUCUUUGAACAAGUACAAUUUUAUCACUAUAUUUUUUAAUUUGAUUCAAAAAUGAUAAAAAUUUAACUAUAAAAAAAUACUCCAGGAAGAAAUAAAGAAAUUUUCUAAUUUUGACUAUGUUGAAUCAAAUUAAUAAAUAUAGUGCUAAAAUUUCAAUCGUUUGGAGAUAGAUGCUAUAUUUGAUCAAUCACCCUAAAUAGAGUGGUAAAUUUGGAUCUUAUCCUACAAUGAGGAAAUUUUGUAAGUUAAAACUAAAGUGGAAAUCUUAUAAGGCGUUGUUUAGGAGACUUGAAAAAAAAGUUAGUACCUGUCGGUCAACUUGUAAAGUUCGAACUGUAUCUUCUAAUGCAGGAUUUGGAUUGAAACCUACAAUGAAAGUUUAUGAAAGUGUUAUCAUUAUACAAAAUAUAAUUUCUAAGCUAAAUAACAAUUAAGUAAAGAAAGGCCAAUGAAGAUGCAUUAAGGGUCAAGGAUCCAAUUUAUCACUCUCCUACAUUACUAGUUUUAUGGUCAAAUUUUACCAAUCAUUUUCUAUUAGUGCAAUUUUAACAGUACAGUAAAAAAUGUAAUGAAUGUAGAAUAUUCUGUUGCCAUACAAGAAGGAGAAGAGAGAUAGAAAAGUAGAAGUGAGGAAAGGGAUGGGAAAAUUUAAAGCUUGGUUUGGUCGUCCACAUCGACCUAGAGUCAGCCAGCUUGAUUUGGGAUGGUGAGAGGGCAACGAAUAAAAAAAAAAGAGGGAAAGGAUUACGAAGACUGAGAAAAUGAGGGAAGAAAGAAUCAGAGAGAGAGAAUAGCCAAGUAGCGAGGGGAAAGAGAGGAGCAAAGCGACAUGGGGAAAGGACGAAAAGCAGGGGUCUGGGUCUGACCAGUGGUCACCAAUGCCUUAUCUAAUGUUGGUCGACCAAAUUCGGCACAAAAAUUAUGAAAACCUUCGAGGAGAGACAAAAGGAACAAGGAUAGAGAAAUGGAAUAAAAAAGAAGGGUGGACGCUAAUAUUUGGUGUAGGUUGGUCACCAUUAAAAUGAUGAAAUCAAAAUUUAACUACUAAAUCUUAAACUUGAAAAUUACAUAAGAACAUAAUACAUAUUAGAGAUUUUAUGUAUACAUGUACUAUAUAAGGUACAACAUGAUGAAAAUGCCCUAACUACAUGACAUGCCAAAUGACAAGAAUGCCCCUAAAUUUAUAUGGCAUAAUAUAUGUCAAAAAUAUAUGUACUUAGAGUUAUAUGACAUAUUGAAUGAUGAAAACAUCUUUAAAACUACGUUGCAUAUUAUAUUGUUCAAACUGCAUAUAUAACAUACUCUCAUGAUCCUAAGACUAUGGGCUAUAGUUCAUGACAGUAAAAUUACAUAGCAUAGUUCAUGUUAUUGCAUAGCAACUUGAACUACAUCUAUUUGUCAUACUAUUGACAUCAUUAUAACCUUAAUGGCAUACAAUCUACCAUAAUUUUAAUAUCAACAUUUAUCUAUAUGGCAUGUGCAUUAUAUGGUUCAAACUAUAUAUGGCAUACUCUCAUGAUCCUAAAACUAGAUGGCAUAGUUCAUGACUAUAAAAUUACAUGGACUAGUUCAUGUUAUAGCAUAUAGGAUAGCAACCCGAACUAUAUCUAAAUGUCAUAAACCUUAAUUGCAUACAAUCUGUGACAAUUUUAUAACAACAUUUUUCUAUAUGGCAUAUAAUUAUAAUCCUAAACCUCAACAUUUUAUCAUGUCUACUAAUGUGCCUACAUGAUAAACGUUCAUAUGGACAAGUUCUAUCUAUGUCUGUCAUGCAGGUUUGGAUAUUAUUACCAAGAGGAACUUGCUUGGAUCUAGGUCUAAGAGUUGAUUCAGCAUGGCAUUGGAUUGAAUUGAAUGAGUCACAGGCUAGGCUUUUUGAGAGUCUGGAGUCGUCUGGAUCUUUUAGAUUGGUGUAGAGUCGUUUGGGUUUGUAGGGACAUUGUGGGCUCAUCUAAGCUCGAAUGGACAUUUUGGGCUCGCUUAGACUCUUAGAUUCUUGGACUUCUGAACUCCUUUAACUUGUAAGUUACCAAAUUGCUGUGGGAAUUUCUAGCAGUAGAAGAGGAGAGGCGAGGAUAUCUAAUAAAUUAUGAGGUAGGUAGAAAUAUGAUGGAGUAUUAAUUGCUGAGAUGAAAUGGAGUGGACGGUCAGGAUCAGGUGAUGAACAACUCAGAUUUCAUGAAAAUUUUAAAUUUUAUCUUCUAAUAAAAAUUAUAAUUUUUAAGAGAUUUAUCAUUUUAAAAAUAAAUCAUUAGAUAAUUCAAAAAAAUUAAAAAUAAAUCGAUCUGAAAAAUGUAGUGUCGAUUUACAUUAUGUGUUGAUCAAUACUGUAAGUUUGGUCAAAUUCACUAAUUUUCUGAAUUCAAGCCUAAGUUGAUCGACACUUUAAAUAGUCAAAAAGUGAAAAAAAAAUUAAAAAUCUAUCCAAAUUGAUAGUUACCCUAAAAUUUUUGAACUAUUGAUUGACACUUUUUGUGCCAACUGAUAUUCUUUCCUAAUUUUUUAUGAAAAUUUCACUUCAUUAAAAUGGAAAUUAUAUUUUAAUUUUUCAUUUAUUAAAGUGCAAAAUUUGGUACUUAUAAUAGUCAUGCUAAAAAAGAAAAAACAAAAGAGAAAAGGGAAAGGAAGAAGAGGAAAGGAAAAAAAACUUCAUGUCCAUAUUUUCUUUUUUAUUUUUAUUUUUUCAAAUAUCCAAAUUUAUUACUUUUAUGUUAUUGAAAAUUAAGAAAUAUUUCAGGAAACAUUUUUUCUUUUUACUUUUUGACUGAUUUAAAUGGUGUCAAUAUUAGUCAUUCAAAGUUUGAUGGUAAAAUUUAAUCACCAAAUUAGAUACUGAUAAAUUUGAUUCUUAUUCCUUAAUCCUAAAUUAAAAUUUCAUUGCAUCAAUACUUUAGAAAUAAAGUAUAUUUUCUAGUUGAUUUAUUCAAAAGAUUUUAACAAAUCAAAGAAUAAUUUUAACUAUACUCCCUCCAUCCCAUUUUCUUAGUCCCUUUUAUUUCUUUUCGAUGUGUCAAAGUUAUGUUUUUUUUUUUCUUGAACACAAACUACUCCUUUUUAUAUAUAUUUCAAAUUUACUUUCAAUGAUUUUUUUUACUCUUUUGUUAUUAAAAACCUUGAAACAUCAUUUUUUUUAUAAAAUGGUAUAUAAAAUUUUAAUAUAAGAUAGACUGAUUUGAAAUUUUUUUCUUAAAUUUUGUGAAAAUCAAGGACAUAAAAUAUGAGAUUUAGGUAGCUUUAUGUCAUCAAAAGGGAGAUGGAUCAAAUAAUGAACUUGCGUAAUUGCCCUAAAAAAGUAUAUAACCUAUAGAUAAUUGUAUUAUCAUUAUGGGCGCUAUAAAACAUGAAUAUAAUGGAAUGUGAAUUUAUUUAUUCUACUUUGUAAAACAUUGCAUAAGAAAUAUACCUUGGAUAGGGUUAUAGCUGAUUGGAUUGAAGUGGUCCACCGCAUCUGUGAGUUUCCAAGCCGAUGUGAAAUGCAAUAGGCCAUCGUCGUUUUGAAAAACCACACACCCAAUAUCCUCAUNNNNNNNNNNNNNNNNNNNNNNNNNNNNNNNNNNNNNNNNNNNNNNNNNNNNNNNNNNNNNNNNNNNNNNNNNNNNNNNNNNNNNNNNNNNNNNNNNNNNNNNNNNNNNNNNNNNNNNNNNNNNNNNNNNNNNNNNNNNNNNNNNNNNNNNNNNNNNNNNNNNNNNNNNNNNNNNNNNNNNNNNNNNNNNNNNNNNNNNNNNNNNNNNNNNNNNNNNNNNNNNNNNNNNNNNNNNNNNNNNNNNNNNNNNNNNNNNNNNNNNNNNNNNNNNNNNNNNNNNNNNNNNNNNNNNNNNNNNNNNNNNNNNNNNNNNNNNNNNNNNNNNNNNNNNNNNNNNNNNNNNNNNNNNNNNNNNNNNNNNNNNNNNNNNNNNNNNNNNNNNNNNNNNNNNNNNNNNNNNNNNNNNNNNNNNNNNNNNNNNNNNNNNNNNNNNNNNNNNNNNNNNNNNNNNNNNNNNNNNNNNNNNNNNNNNNNNNNNNNNNNNNNNNNNNNNNNNNNNNNNNNNNNNNNNNNNNNNNNNNNNNNNNNNNNNNNNNNNNNNNNNNNNNNNNNNNNNNNNNNNNNNNNNNNNNNNNNNNNNNNNNNNNNNNNNNNNNNNNNNNNNNNNNNNNNNNNNNNNNNNNNNUUAUAUAAUUUAAAUGAUAUUAUGUUUAUUUAUUUUUAAUUUAUUUUGUUUUUAAAUAGGAAUAAUUUAUAAUUUAUUUUAUUAAUAAUUGAUAAUUUUAAAUAUUAAUAUUUAUUUAUAAUUUAAUAUUAAUAUUUUAAUAUAUUAAUAUUUUAUUAAAAGUUGGAAUUAAGUGAGAGAAAGAGGAGAGAGAGAAAAAUAAUAUUUUAUACUAAUAAAGUUGUAAAUUUUCAAACUUGUAAGGGGUAUUUUUGUCUUUAUUAAUUUUUAAAUUUAUUCUUCAACCAUGGAAUAGCUAAUACCAUGGGGGAGGGUGGUAUUAGCUAUUCCUUGGUUUUGAAGGAUUUUGAAGAAUAGCCAUUUCAUAGGAAUGGCUAUUCCUUGGAUCAUUUUUCAACCAAACAAAAGGAAUAAAAAUUCCUUGGGAAUAAAGGGGGAAUGGCUUAGCCAUUCCCCCAACCAAACAUGCUAAUAGAUAAUUGUAUUAUCAUUAUGGGCGCUAUAAAACAUGAAUAUAAUGGAAUGUGAAUUUAUUUAUUCUACUUUGUAAAACAUUGCAUAAGAAAUAUACCUUGGAUAGGGUUAUAGCUGAUUGGAUUGAAGUGGUCCACCGCAUCUGUGAGUUUCCAAGCCGAUGUGAAAUGCAAUAGGCCAUCGUCGUUUUGAAAAACCACACACCCAUUAUCCUCAAUGUCCCCAGACCCGAUAUCCGGCGCCAGUGGAACUGGAAGAAGGCCAUUCGCUCGCAAGAGGGAUCGCCAUUGAGCCAAAGUCUGGUGUCGCUCAAGUCGGUCUGUCCCUUCACAUCCCACGAUGUUUACUAUCUGUGGUCUACAAUACAUGAAUUCGUAAAAUUCCAAAAAAUUGAAGUAAUAUUGAAAAGAUUUCUCCAACCGUUUGAUGAAAUUGGAGUCAUUAUGGUCAGCAUAUUGCUCUUCUAUAAUCACAAUCUCUGGGUUUAUCUGCCUCAACUUUAACAACUCUCUCUCCAUUACUCUUGCAUCUGCCAGCAACUGGUGAAGUUUACAGUGAUAAUAGACGAUUACGGCCUCAUCCGUUGUCCUUGUGAAAUCCGCCUUAGACGCAUCCACAUCACCCAAACUAUUGGCAUAAACCACUCUCAAGUCCUCCAACUUAAUUCCACGUUCCAUGGCCGCCGUAGUGAGAUCGUGCUUACUUUUUUCUUGUUGGAAUUUUACUAUUUUUUCCAGAAAUGGUGAUACUAUGACACUUACACGGACUGAUAGAAAAUCACCGGAAGCAUUAGCUAGUGAUCUAAACAAGUAUCUCCAAUAACAUAAAGGUCGGAAUAAGAAGGUAAUGAGGUGCAAUCGUUUCUUUCCCAUACAGGCAGUGUUGAUGGCAUCGCAGGAAAAAUUAUGAAGGAAAUUAAUGGGUGAAGGAGUCAGCAAAGUGAAAUAGGCACUGGCAGAAGAAAUUCCGUAAGCUCGGCGAACUAGAGCUU
rnacentral:lncRNA from 1 species